UUGUUGACGAGUUGGGAUGUCGACGAAUUUGUUGCAGAGCUGUUUGCUUCUUGCCGUUCGGCCUCAGUCUUUUGCAUUGGUAGAGAUUGUCUGAAGGACCUUUAGUAUAUAUAAAUAGAUAAGGUCUUUCCCUAAUUACGUACAGAAAGGUAAAGGAUUGGGUUUCUGAUCGGAGUUUUUUUCUUUUUUUUUUAUCUUGAUCUCGAUUCAAACUCGGUAUCCAAAUCAGGGAACUUUGGCCGCGCUGACAUCGAUGGAUGGAACCCAUAGCUGAACUCGGUGCGUAGAUUGACUUUUGGGCACGGCGGGUAAGUCCGUGUGGGACUCAUUGUGUUGUGAGCUGAUCUUCUCGGAGACGGAGUGAGGCAAGGUGAACUUUGAGCGGCGCGUGUAUGCAGCGUGCGGCAGUUCUACUCAGACACGGAGGAAGGCGAACUGUGGCGUGGAGCGUGUUUGUACGAUGGCGCUGCGUGCGUGCGUGCGUGCGUGAGGUUGAAGAAGGUGCCGGUUUUGGGCCGUGUUGUAAAUAAGGCCCAUUCGUAACUCGUCCUCAGUGCCUUUUUUUUGUCCCAGUAGGGUUAGGUUCGCAGGGAAGCACUCACUCGUUUGUUCGGCGGCGGCGGCACUCCAGGCCUUGGUCGCUCACUCCUCAACUCCCGUCCCUAGCCCCUAUGCCUGUGGUGAUCAAGUUGGGGCUGGUGGCCCUGGUCCCCUCGCCGCAUCUGCUCGCCCCUCCCUGCAUCCUAUCGCGGCGCGGCGGAUCCGAUGCGAUGUCCCAAGGAAGGACGGCCAAGUUGAGCUCUCGCGUUCGGUUGUGAAGGAGACAUAUCGUCGCUGGUAGGAUGGAGGGGAGCCUCCUUGCGCGACUCCAUCUGGGCGCCUCGCCGUAGGUGGCGUCCCUGAGGACGACGAAGGCGUUCUCGCCGUCCGCUGAGGCAGCCGGAGCCAGAUCCUCCUGUUGCCGUUGCAUCGUUUGAGGAGCAGAUGAUAUCUGUCAGCCAACAAGAGAGCUACUAUUUGAAGAGUCACACUGGCACAGAAGUUCAUUCCAGUAUACAUGGGAAGUGCAUUCAGAAAUAAGCGUCCCGAAACGUUGGCAUUACUUGACCAUCAACCGUUCUAAGCUCUUCAUAGCUCCUUGCGCCCGGAACAUGGUUUAGGAGUACCCUAAGAUAGUACCGUUCUCCUUCAGCUGGAUGUGCUGCAACCAACCUGCCAAUCUGGCUGAUAUUGGUGCAUCUUUGUUUUUGGUAGUUGGACACAUUGAAGAGGGAAUAUCUGUCCAAGAAGUAUGAUUGUUUGUGGCCCAUCUUUAUUUUUGGUGGAAGUGGGAAUAUCUGUCAAAGAACCUGUCCAAGAAGCAUGGUUGUUUGUGGUUCAUCUUUGUUUUUGGUGGCUGGACACAUCGAAGCGUGAAUAUCUGUAAAAGAACCAUGGUUAGUUUUACAUGAGCUUGUAAUUUGUCUUGAGGCGUCAAAAGUAUCAUAUAAUUAUAGUGUUACCAUUAAUCAUGGCUUGUAAAUGUGGACGCCCCCUGUCGUCAUCUCCAUUUAAUGUUUGUCUUUCUCCCGGCGUCACAUGCUUCCUUUGAUUUAAAUCAAUGGUUGAUGUUCUAACUUCCAUGUCUGGUUGUGUAUAUGCAGGGUUCUCUAAGGCGAUUGAAUAUUUGGUUUGUGCUCUACGCUUGAACUUUUUGUUUUCUGUAAUUUUCUUAAUUCUAGCUGCCUUUUGUUCUGGUUGCAUAUUUGCAUACUCUUCACGGUUCCUUUUGAUUCUUUCUAUCUUUUUUUCAUUGCUCAUAUGUGCAUAUCGAUCUCUCUCUCUUUUCCUUUUCUUUUCAUUGGCAUCCAUUAUUGAAUCUUCUAACCCUAAUGGAUUGUUUUCCUCAUUGUUUUUUGAUUUGUUUGAAUCUAUAAAGCAAAAGAAUGAAUAUUAAAUAUAGUGUGAUACUUUGCAUUAAUGUAAUAGAGAAAAGAAAAAACAAUAUUUAAUUAAGUUUACCUAUUAUGUUUCCAAGUUUCUCUGUGCCAUUUGCAGCAUGUACAUCUUGACAACUAUCAAUCCUGCCAUCUUCAUGAUGUAUAAUAUUGCCUACUAUUAGGCGGGCUUGCCCUGUGAUGGUAGAUCCAGGUGCGGGUCCUUUGAGAGACUCUUUAUUUUUUUGCUUUUCAUGAUAGGCUUCACGAAGCCUUUUAAGCAUUUCCUGCUUUUUUUCAUUUGUCAUCUUAGCAUACCGCUCUCUCUCUCUUUUCCUUUUUUUUUGCUUUGCAUCCAUUAAUGUAUCUUCUACCUGAUUGUUUUUUGUAAUGUAUGGAUCUGUAGAUCAAAAAGAGUGUAUAAUAAGAACAAUAUGAUAUUUUCCAUGAAUACAAUAGAGAAAAACAUUAAAGCAAUAUAUUCAAGUAAAUUUACCUUGUUGCAAUUUUGUUUUUAGGUUUUCAGUUGCCUCUAUGUCACCUUCAUUGCCGACAUCUUGACCUCCAGUGUGUACAUCUUGAUGGAAGGGGACGUGGCAGCGACGCUGGCUUACUGGCCUGCGCGUGGCAGUGAUAAAGACGCUAGCUCUCUGGCCGGCUGGCCUGCCUGGCCGGGGACGUGGCGGCGAGGCUGGCUCGCUAGCUGGUGCUGGCUUAUCUCGCAGGGAACGUGGCGGCGAGACUGGCUCGCCGCGACGCUGGCUCGCUGGCUGGCGCUGGGACGUGGCGGCGAGGCUGGCUCUCUAGCCGGCGCUGGCCUGUCUCGCAGGGAACGUGGCGGCGAGACUGGCUCGCUAGCCGGCGCUGGCCCUAGCUCGCGUCGCAAGAGGCGGACUCGCAGCGUCGCAAGAGGUUUUUUUAUGUUUUUUUUACUUUGAUCUCUCUAGGGCUGUUUAUAUAAAAUAUUUGUAGACCAAUUUGGAUUUGGACAUCUAUAUAUUAUAUUAUAUAGCAGAUUGGCAGUCCUAUUUGGGUUUGGACAUCUAUAUUAUAGCUAUUGUAAAAUGUAACGUAACCUAUACGGAUGUAACGUAACCUAUACGUGUAGACCAAUUUGGAUUAGCAGAUUGGCAGUCCUAUUUGGAUUUGGAAAAUGAAACGUAACCUAUACGGAUGUAACGUAACAUAUACGGACUGCAGACUGGAGAUUGUGGCUAUUUAACCUAUACGGAUGUAACGUAAGGACUGCAGACUGGAGAUUGUGGCUAUUACGUGGAGUACAGACUGGAGAUUGUGGCUAUUAUGGACUGUAGAUUGGCAGAAAAAAAAAGGGCAGACUGAAAUUUUGGCUCUUUAUUAGUAGGUAUAGAUAUGUUGUACAACUCCCUGACGUGUUUUUAUUUUUUUGCUAUUCAGGAGCCUAGAGUCUUUGUCUUCAAGUUGUACCUACAUCCAGCAUGUAUUUUCACUAGCUACUAUCAACUGAUGAAAAACAUUUAUGAUAAUUUGAAGAAAGAUGAAGAACUAGUUAAUGGAAAACUAGUCACACCAAAGUCUGGGGUCUUCUUAGUUCAGUUAGUGCCAGAGAAGGAAGAUGAAUUGCCACUCACUUUUCCUUUUGGAUGUAGUGAUUUGUACAUGGAGGGCUACCAUUACAACAGUAAGUAUUUUUCUUUGUUUUCAACAAUUUACUUUACAUUCUCGUUGAAUUCACUAGAAUGAAAUGCACCAUAGGUCCCUAAACUUUUCUCACAUUCUUGUCUAGGUCCAUUAAUUUUCAAAGUAAAAUACACCAUAGGUUGUUCAACUUUUGAAGUGGAUCAUUCUAAGUUUAUUUUAGGUCUAAGCAUCAUGCAUUUGAAUUCACUUGAAAAGUUAAAGGACCCAAAUAAUCACUUUAAGAGUUCAUAGACCCAGAUGAGAAUGAGGCAAAAGUUUAAUGACCAAUAUUGCAUUUAUCUCAAUUCACUGUUUUGGUUAUAGGAGUAUGGUAUAGGUUUUCUAAUCAUGAGGCUGAUCUUCCUUCCAAGAAUCAAUUUGAUUACACUUAGAGAGUAAAGCUGGUUCUUACCUCAAGCUAUGCAUAUCUUUGUGGUUAUAACAUUAAGAUUGGUCAUAUAGCAUUUAAGAGAUGCUAUUAUGUGCUACGUAAAACCAAUGUUCUCCAUUCAUCUAAGGAAGGGCUACAAGAGCUCAGAUCGGGACCUUUGGCAACACCUACAGUUGGAAUCUCAGAAGCUUUGCGCUUCAAUGUUCAACAGAGAUUGGUAAAGCAUGCACUCUAUUCUGGUAAGAAAAUCUAUAUCACUGAAAAAAUCUUCAAUUAUUUCAAUGUGUGGGGGACUUUGUCUAUUGCAAUGUAUACUGAAGUGGUCCCAAAAGAGUGUCUUCUUAGCUUGACACAGAUUAGCAAUAAAUUAUGGGUGAUAAAGCGCCACCUUUAAUUUGCAAGAAGGUAAUUAGUCCUCCUCUCUCUUUGUGUCGUCUUUGUUUUGCUUAAUAUUAGCACUUAUAUGUCUUUAUAAUUAAAUGCAUAAUUUCCCUUUCAGUCAUAGAAAAUGGAAAAGAAAAUGAAAAACUAGUCGCAUCCUUAAUCGAAUGGCAGAAAAAAGCCGAGAAGAGAAUUGUCGAAGCUGUUUGCAAUGUUGGUGAUACAAGUAACACAAUGGAGUAUGUUGUUUUAUUUUCAGAUUUAGUUACACCCACGGCCACGGCGACACGGCGUUGUAGCUCUAUGAACUGAUCUACUCUCCACCCUGUGUUUUCCCGCCCUGGUAUAUCAAGAGUUUAUUUUGUUUUA